rnacentral:misc_RNA from 1 species
GUUCAUGAGUGUUGUGUUUUACCAGAAAUAAAGAGUUAAAACACACAAAAAUGAAUACAAGUAGAAAGCGUUUGAUUUCAACAGUAACUUCAUCAGAUCACCGGUAUUCAGUUUGAAAUUAAUUUCUAAAUUACCAAUGCAGCCUCAUUAGGAUAACAGCAAUGUUACUUGCCUCAUGAGUUGUUACAUGCUCUGAGUGCAAAGGAAAAUAGAAAGACCACAAGCAGAGCUGAAAAGUAUUUGGAAAACAAUCAGUGAAUUGCCGAAGAAGCAGCAGCAGCAGCAUCGUAAGCAUAAUGCAUUAUACAGAUGAUACCAAAGAAUUUCUACCUUGUGAAAAAUUUCAUCUUCAGGCUUAAUGUAUAUUAUCAAUUCCUCAUUGUGACUGCUUUUCCCUUUUUUGUGGUCUGCAUUCUUGUGCUUGUAAAUUUU